UUUUGAAGUUUUCAAAGACUGGCUCUGCUGUUAAGAAGUUGUACUUAAAGUGGAGGAACUAAGCCACCUGCCAAAAUGUGCAAAGGACUUGCAGCUUUGCCCCACUCAUGCCUGGAAAGGGGCAAGGAGAUUAAGAUCAAGUUGGGGAUUCUCCUCCAGAAGCCAGACUCAGUUGGUGACAUUGUCAUUCCUUACAAUGAGAAGCCGGAGAAACCAGCCAAGACCCAUAAACCCUCGCUGGACGAGGCCCUGCAGUGGCGUGAUUCCCUGGACAAACUCCUGCAGAACAACUAUGGACUUGCCAGUUUCAAAAGUUUCCUGAAGUCUGAAUUCAGCGAGGAAAACCUUGAGUUCUGGAUUGCCUGUGAGGAUUACAAGAAGAUCAAGUCCCCUGCCAAGAUGGCCGAGAAGGCAAAGCAAAUAUAUGAAGAAUUCAUUCAAACGGAGGCUCCUAAAGAGGUGAAUAUUGACCACUUCACUAAGGACAUCACAAUGAAGAACCUGGUGGAACCUUCCCUGAGCAGCUUUGACAUGGCCCAGAAAAGAAUCCAUGCCCUGAUGGAAAAGGAUUCUCUGCCUUGCUUUGUGUGCUCUGAGUUUUAUCAGGAGUUAAUCAAGUAGUAAUCUAGCCAGGCUAUGAAAUCAUCCUGUGAGUAAUUUCCUCCAUAAUAACCCUGCAUUUCCCAUUAAUCUACAUACCUUCCCACAGCAGCUUUGCUCAAUGAUAUCCACAUGGAAAAAUCCCAGGGGAUGUUGCUUACUCUUUUUGCCCACAUAGAUUUCGAUACUUAUCUACAGUCCAAAGGCCUUGUUUCCCCACUCAAUUCUUCCUGCCCUGUUAUUAAUUAAGAUAUCUUCAGUUUGUAGUCAGACCCAGUCAGAGUCACAGACAAAUCCUGCCUAAGGCAAAGACCUAUAAGACAAGAAUAUGAUAUCAAUGAAUGUGGGUUUAGGUAAUAGAUUUCCACCUAAAUUGGUCUAAAACAGAAUAUAAGUGUGGACAGACCUAUUUCAAAGGAGCUUAAUUGAUCUCACUUGUUUCAGUUCUGAUCCAGGGAGAUCACCCCUCUAAUUAUUUCUGAACUUGGUUAAUAAAAGGUUAUAAGAUUUUUA